rnacentral:rRNA from 1 species
GAUGAACGCUAGCGGCAGGCUUAACACAUGCAAGUCGAGGGGUAUUGGUUUUCGGACCAAGAGACCGGCGCACGGGUGCGUAACGCGUAUGCAAUCUACCUUUUGCAGAGGGAUAGCCCCAGAGAAAUUUGGAUUAAUACCUCAUAGUAUGUGAGAAUGGCAUCAUUUUCACAUUAAAGUCACAACGGCAAAAGAUGAGCAUGCGUCCCAUUAGCUUGUUGGUAAGGUAACGGCUUACCAAGGCAACGAUGGGUAGGGGUCCUGAGAGGGAGAUCCCCCACACUGGUACUGAGACACGGACCAGACUCCUACGGGAGGCAGCAGUGAGGAAUAUUGGACAAUGGGCGCAAGCCUGAUCCAGCCAUGCCGCGUGCAGGAUGACGGUCCUAUGGAUUGUAAACUGCUUUUGUACAGGAAGAAACCCCUUUCACGUGUGGAAGAUUGACGGUACUGUAAGAAUAAGGAUCGGCUAACUCCGUGCCAGCAGCCG